rnacentral:lncRNA from 1 species
UUCACAGUCAGUUUUACAGCUGCAUUACCUUUGCCCCAAGCAUGGUUAGAGGAAUCAGCAGGUGACGAUCAGCCAGGAGCUACAUAAUUUCUGAGGGGUUUGGUCAUUCUUUGGUUUCUCUUUCACAGGAUACAAGUGAUGCCUUCAAAUUUGAGCUCAGUUUCUUAUGGUCGUUUAGGAGCAUGAGGGUUUCUGCAAUAAUCUACCAGUGAAAUGAUGAUCAAGAUCUUGGAAAGCACUCUACUGGUCAAGCAGAAUAGUUCCUGUCAUCUCCAUUAAGAAUCAGCUUAUUGGCCGGGCGCAGUGGCUCAUGCCUGUAAUCCCAGCACUUUGGGAGGCUGAGGCGGGUGGAUCACGAGGUCAGGAGAUCGAGACCAUCCUGUCUAACAAGGAAUCCUUUCUGGCACUCAAGAGUUUUCAAUUCAAUCCUGAUGAAUGAAUCAUUAUUUGAUACCAGCCUAAGUGAAGACUCUGCCUGGUGACUUUUGCAAGGUGGUUUCUGGCUGCAACAUGGGAAGAUUUGGGAUCAGUGAGAUGGAAGAGAUUUUUCUGGCUACUAGCGUUCCUAAGAAAGAGCUUUAGUGUUUAUCCAGCUAUUGGUAUGCAGACAACUAUACCCUUAUGAGAAACACUAGCAGAGAAGAAGAGUUCUUGACUGGGUCUGGGCCAUGAAACUGACCGGAUAAAAGUGGGAGAAGAAGAGAUGUUGAAGGAGGAGUUUGCUGUUUUCUCAGUCUCCUGAGAAAUUCCAGGCUUGGAGAUAUUUGAGGCAUCUCCUCCCCCCAAACUCAGUUGGACAGAUCAGAAAAAUGAGGUCCAGCAAACUGAAAUGACUUGCUCCAGAACUCACAGACAAUUAAUGACUAGAACCCAGGUCUUCUAACUUCCUACCAAUUAUUGUGAGGAGAGCCCAUAAAGGAGAAAAGGACAAGGGAUGAUCUAUGGAACAUUCAAACUCCUGUCUCUAGUUGCCUUUUUCUGGUUGUUUCUUGGAUAUCACGCACUCUCAUCAGCAGCCUUCCUACUCUUACAGAUUAUCAACACCUGUCCCAAAAUCCUGGGGCCAGCCAUGGUGCUUGGGCUUUUUUUCCCACAUCUAACCAUUCCGCAGCAUAUAACAAAUCCUUGACAAAUUUCCAGUGGAAAAAAAUAGCAGAAACCAUACACCCUCCAUCUGUGAAUUGAUGUGGCCAAGAACAGGCUUAUUUCAAAGGGUGCACCAUAGAAUAGUCGUAAGACUCAACCCCUCCAAGACUAGCUGGUGCUUAUCCCGCCCAUAGGCAGUUAAAAGGACUUUAUUUGCAUCUUAUUCUUUCCAACAGAAAGGCAAACAUUAUUAUUACAAUUCAGUAAAUUUCCAUAAGGAACCCCAUUGAUACAUGUUGUAUAUUUUGGGUUCUUUUGUUUCAUACUGAGCAUACCAACAUUAUAUCAAUAUUAUAUUUAUCUAGCAUUCUCCCAUAUUCAUAGAAAUAGAGAACUCAUCAGCCUUUAAAAAGAACUCAAAUGCACACAAAAUUUCACCCUCUAGAAAAGCAUCAAUGAAAAUGAUUUUGCAAAUAUAUAUACUUUUCAAUAUGUAAGUAUCUACAAAAAAAUUGAUAAUAAUUAAAUACCUGUAAAGUGCCAUGCACUUUACCUGUAUAUCUCAUUUAAUUCUCACAACAACCCUGUGAAGUAAGAAUUACUACGCCCAUUUUAUAGAUGAACUAGCUAGGAGUCAAAGACAUUGAGCCACUUGCCACACAUUUACAGCACGGAGCUACAAAGAUCUGGGACUUGAAUCCAGAUUUUCUAACUCCAGAGCCAAAGCUUUUCUUAAUAUGCCACAGGAGCAAGCACAGGAGCUUGCUCCAAAAGUCAAGUUAAUUUUUAGGAAAGAAUUAGGUAAGCAAAUAUUCAUGAAUUAGAGAAUGUCUUUAAUUUCAGAUCCAAAUCACUUGGUCACUUAAAAAUAAAAGACAAUAAAUCAUAAGGGAUUCUACUUGACUUAUUAUCUAAAGUGAUUAAUAAGAAUGACAUUUCCCCACCAACCCCAAAUGAAAAAAUCAAUUUGGGAAGUUUCCCAAUAAUUUAAACUUGAAACACUAAUCUGAAAAAGAAAAUCUAUAUAUCAAAAGUCUUCAUAGUAUGGCACAAAUAAAACAGAAUCUUAAUUUCCAAUUUCUAUUAAACUGAUUUUUCUUUUAAACUGGAGCCAGAAAGCCAAAAAGCCUUCAAAUCAAUUGAGCCUCUUGCAUUUUAUUUAAGAGGUUUCAUUUUUCAAACCAAAGCUGGGAAGACAAAACAAGCUUAUUUAAUUCACACCCCAGAAUUGUAAUUUCUCUGUUCAAGCCAAUGUCUAAGUGCCUGUAUUAAGGGCUUCCCACUGACCAUAAUGUGUUAAUUCAUCAUUGCACACAAUUUUCCUUUGUACUUUUAAGCUACUCUUCAUUUUCCCCUUGGUUAGGGUUGCCUAUACAACAGAGGACACCCAGUAAAACAUAAAUUUCAGAUAAACAACAAAUAGUCUUUACAUAAGCAUGCCCCCUGCAAUAAUUGAGACAUACUUAUACCCCCAAAAUUAUUUAUCUGAAAUUCACAUUUAACUAGACAUCCUGUAUUUUUAUUUGCUAAAUCUGGCAACCCUAUUCUUGAUCCAUUGUGGGUAUUCCCAGGACUUCACCUCUAAACUAUUAUAUUUUUCAAAUACAUUAUUUGUAUGUUUUGUGGUGUGUAUGUGUGUGUGUGUGCACGCGCGCGUGCCUCUCAGAAUGGAGGUUCUGGAGCAUCUCUCACUCUUGAGACCACAGCCAUCUAUCACUUUGGUUAUCAAUGUGUCCUCUAUCGUAUAUAUAAUUAUGUAUUAUGUUAUAUAUAUAUAUAUAUACAUAAUUUAGUGUGAAACUAGCCAGGACCAUUUUGAAAACGAAAAGUCAGUGGUGGGAGGUGGGAAGGAGUGUGUUGGGAGAAACUUUACCCACCACGUAUUAAAAGGUAUUAUAAAUCUAUACUGAUUAAAACAGUUUGGUUCUAGUAUGUGAGUAGAUAAAUUAACACCACAGAAUAGAGAUUACCCAAUUCUUUACCCCAAAAUAAGUUCUAGAAAUAUAAAGGAGUCAAAUGGAAAAUGCAAUUGUAAAGACACCAAGAGAAAGCAUGGAAUAAUUAUAUGUAGUCUUGAAGUGAAAAUGAUUUUUCUAAGGAAGAUGCAAAAUCCAGGAAGUAAAAAGAAAAAUUUCAUAAAUCUAGCUACAUAUAAUUUUCAAAACUUUUUUCAUGUAGAAAAUAUAAUAAAUGCAGUCAAAAAGCAAUUUAGGGGAACAUCUUCAAUUUAUCUCACUCAGGGUGGACUAAGUUAUUUAAUAUGUAAAAAUCUCUUGCAAAUCAAUAGAAAAAAAGCAAAAUCAUGAAUAGAAAAAUGAGUAAAGGCUAUAAAUGGACAUUUCACUGAAAAACAGCCAUACAAGUUAAUAAACACACAGAAAAAGAGGCUUAACCUCACUGAUGAUUAAGGCAAUGCAAGUUAAAGCAAUAAUGAAACAUCAUUUCCCUUCAUUAUAUUGAAAAAGAUUAAAAGCUAGAUAAUGUGUAGUAUUGAUGGGGAUAGAGAGAUGGGCAUUUCAUAACUUGUAGAUGAGAUUAUAAAUUGGUGCAACGUCUUUGGAGGGCACGAUUUUGCAGUAUCUUUUAAUAUGAAAAAUGUAUUUAUCCUUGACUAAGUAAUUCCCAUUCUAGAAAUGUAUAUUAUGAAAAUACUUGCACAGUAUGCAAAUGUAUACAAGUAUAAGGGUGUCCAUUGCAGUAUUAUUUGUGUUAAUGAAAAAUGGGACUAAGGCAAAUGUCUAUUAUAAGAGAUAGGAUAAAAAAUUUAGUGCAUAUUCAUAUAUUGAAAUAAUAUUGUCAAUUAAAAAAUAAAACUGAUCCACAUGUGUGGAAAUAAAAUUAUUUCCCAAUUUAAUUUGUUGAAAUUUUUAAAAGACUCACAAUGGUGUGCAGGUGAAUGCCCUUUUUUAAUAAGGAAAGAUGCAUAUAUGUACAUAUGUUUGUAUGUGCAGAAGUAGACUGGCUUUUUUAUAUCCUUUUGUACUCUGAAGCUUUCUGUAUGAAUUGCAUGUAUUACUUUUUCAA